rnacentral:rRNA from 1 species
UGGCUCAGAACGAACGCUGCGGCGUGGAUGAGGCAUGCAAGUCGAACGGGAUCCAGCAGGUAGCAAUAUUUGCUGGUGAGAGUGGCGUAAGGGUGAGUAAUGCGUGGGUAAUCUACCUCUAGGAUCGGCAUAGCCCGGCGAAAGCUGGGAUAAUUCCGAAUGUUGUCGGCCGGUGCAUACCGGCCUGUCCAAAGCUGGGGACCGCAAGGCCUGGCACUUGGAGAUGAGCCCACGUCCUAUCAGCUAGUUGGUGAGGUAACGGCUCACCAAGGCUUACGGGUAGCUGGUCUGAGAGGACGAUCAGCCACACUGGGACUGAGACACUGCCCAGACUCCUACGGGAGGCUGCAGUCGAGAAUCUUUCGCAAUGGGCGCAAGCCUGACGAAGCGACGCCGCGUGUAGGAUGAAGGCCUUCGGGUUGUAAACUACUGUCUUUGGGGAGCAACGGCCGGGACGUUAAUACCGUACCGGAUUGAUAGUACUCAAGGAGGAAGCCACGCUAACUCUGUGCCAGCAGCCGCGGUAAUACAGAGGUGGCGAGCGUUGUUCGGAUUUACUGGGCGUAAAGGGUGCGUAGGCGGUUCUGCGUGUCGGAUGUGAAAUCUCACUGAAAACGGUGAAACUGCAUUCGAAACUGCAGGGCUAGAGUGCAGGAGAGGAUGGCGGAAUUCUCGGUGUAGCGGUGAAAUGCGUUGAUAUCGAGAGGAACGCCGGUGGCGAAGGCGGCCAUCUGGACUGCAACUGACGCUGAGGCACGAAAGCUAGGGGAGCAAACAGGAUUAGAUACCCUGGUAGUCCUAGCCGUAAACGGUGUGAACUUGGUGUGGGAGGAAUUAUCCCCUUCCGUGCCGUAGCUAACGCGAUAAGUUCACCGCCUGGGGAGUACGGCCGCAAGGCUAAAACUCAAAGGAAUUGACGGGGGCCCGCACAAGCGGUGGAGCAUGUGGCUUAAUUCGAUGCAACGCGAAUAACCUUACCUGGGCUUGACAUGUAACUGCAAGUCCGGUGAAAGCCGGACUCCUUCGAGGGUGUUACACAGGUGCUGCAUGGCUGUCGUCAGCUCGUGCCGUGAGGUGUUAGGUUAAGUCCUGCAACGAGCGCAACCCCUGUGAUUAGUUGCUAGUCGCGCAAGCGAAGCACUCUAGUCAGACUGCCUGUGAUAAGCAGGAGGAAGGUGGGGAUGACGUCAAGUCAGUAUGGUCCUUAUGCCCAGGGCUGCACACGUGCUACAAUGUAGGGUACAGAGGGAUGCGAAUCCGCGAGGUGGAGCAAAUCCCAUAAAACCCUACUCAGUUCAGAUUGGAGUCUGCAACUCGACUCCAUGAAGCUGGAAUCGCUAGUAAUGGCGCAUCAGCUACGGCGCCGUGAAUACGUUCCCGGGCCUUGUACACACCGCCCGUCACAUCAUGAAAGCCGAUUGCACCCGAAGUCGCUGUUUCAACCCGCAAGGGGGAUAGGUGCCUAAGGUGUGGUUGGUG